GUUUGUUUUGCAACUAAUUAAGACUCCAUGCAAAAAGGGUGUCACAUCCUCCAGGCAAUUUGACUAAGUGUAUAAAAGCAUUUGCUAUGUAGAACUCUUCUAAUCACUUUUCUUAAACUCUUCUCCUUGGUGAUUCGGGUCUGGAUCUGUCACAUGUCUCCCCACAAUGAGUGCCGCCUGCCACCGGGGGUGGCAUGUCCAGAGCCAUUUGCCAUCACCUCCAGUGAGACCUGUGUGAUAAAAUACCCCGAUACAAUAGUGGACAUAGUGGACCCUGACGUGCCACCGUACUCUGUGAUAUAUCCCGGCCCAACUCUCACCACAUUUCCUCAGCAAACCAUAGUGGGAUCUACUGCGUUGUUUGAUAUCAGGAACUUCUUCAGUUCCAAGGGAUCUUUUGGGUUUAGGGGCGCGUGUGGUUCUGGGACAGCGUGUAACUCGGGAUUACCAUUUUCUGAUGCGGGAAACUGUAAUCCUUUUUCUGCUCACUUAUCCCAACCAUUUUGCUGUAAAACUGGCAGGCCAACCUAAAUCCAACAUGGAUGUCUGUGGAUUAAGUGAAAAGCAGAACUGAACAGAAAGACAGAUUAUGACUAAGUUUAUGGAUGAUGGACUAUAGAAGUGCUGAGCUCCCACAGAUCCCAGUGGAGUCAAUAAAAGCAUGGCUUCCUGGCACUAGACCAGCAUGAGGACUAGAAUUUCCAAACUACAAAUUUCACUAUUGAUCUUACUCAAAAUUAGGAUUAAAUUUUAAAAGAAUGAAUUUUCCAAGAAACAAGAUUUUCAAAAAUAUCUUUUCAGUUUGAUAAAAAUGUAUCUUUCAAUAAAUUUAAAUUUUUACGCCAAUAUUGACUUUUUAUUAUCAUUUACUCUCAAAACAGAAAGCAAAAAGUAUUUCAAAAAUAUCUGAUGGAAAAUCUUGGUUUCAAAACUGAAAUGGUGUCAAAAUUUAUAUUCGCUUGUUUAUUUUGCUGAACCAGAAUUUACCAUUAAAAGAAAAAAAUCAACUCUACUUGGCAUUUCUUAAUAUUAGGCAUUUAUAAGUCUUUCCUGUGCUCUAUUUCUGCUUAGACCCCUGCAAUGCUACCACUUCCUAGCUUAUUUUUCUGCCUAUAUCCCACUUGAUGCAAACCAGGGCAAAACCAAAAAUAACUUAAAGCAAUUGUAAUAGCAGAUUUCUUUGUAAAAUAUCUCUGAUCAAAAAUGAGCAACCUAUGCAGAAUCAUGUAACUGGAGAUUCAUUGUAGCCCCUCAUGAAAUUCUGGAACUCUUGAUUAUAUCCUAUCCAUCUAAUGUUGUACAAGUAUAUUCAGCUUCUCACUCCCAUUAAACAUUGUCAUGCAGCAUGCA